GAUGAACGCUAGCGGCAGGCCUAAUACAUGCAAGUCGAGGGGCAGCGGGAGUAGCAAUACUUGCCGGCGACCGGCGCACGGGUGCGUAACACGUAUGUAAUCUACCCUUUACUGGAGAAUAGCCCGAAGAAAUUCGGAUUAAUGCUCCAUAAUAUCACUGGAAGGCAUCUUUUGGUGAUUAAAGUUCCGACGGUAAAGGAUGAGCAUGCGCGAUAUUAGCUAGUUGGUGAGGUAACGGCUCACCAAGGCGACGAUAUCUAGGGGUACUGAGAGGUUACACCCCCACACUGGUACUGAGACACGGACCAGACUCCUACGGGAGGCAGCAGUAAGGAAUAUUGGACAAUGGUCGCAAGACUGAUCCAGCCAUGCCGCAUGCAGGAUGAAUGCCCUAUGGGUUGUAAACUGCUUUUAUACGGGAAUAAACCCGGGUACGUGUACCCGGCUGAAUGUACCGUAGGAAUAAGGGUCGGCUAACUUCGUGCCAGCCGCCGCCGUAACAC
rnacentral:rRNA from 1 species